rnacentral:rRNA from 1 species
GACGAACGCUGGCGGCGUGCUUAACACAUGCAAGUCGAACGAAGUGGCGAACGGGUGAGUAACGCGUAAUCAACCUGCCCUUCAGAGGGGGACAACAGUUGGAAACGACUGCUAAUACCGCAUACUGAAGGAGGGGAUUGCGGCUGAUUAGCUAGUUGGGGGGGUAACGGCCCACCAAGGCGAUGAUCAGUAGCCGGUCUGGGGGGAUGAACGGGCAAAUUGGGAAUGGGGAAAGGCCCAGACUCCGACGGGAGGCAGCAGUGGGGAAACUGCCGCAAUGGACGAAAGUCUGACGGAGCAACGGCGCGUGAGUGAUGACGGCCUUCGGGUUGUAAAGCUCUGUUAAGCGGGACGCGGUACCGGAAUAGAAAGCCACGGCUAACUACGUGCCAGCAGCCGCGGUAAUUC